rnacentral:rRNA from 1 species
AAAGAGAAGCGACCUCGCGAGAGCAAGCGGACCUCAUAAAGUGCGUCGUAGUCCGGAUUGGAGUCUGCAACUCGACUCCAUGAAGUCGGAAUCGCUAGUAAUCGUGGAUCAGAAUGCCACGGUGAAUACGUUCCCGGGCCUUGUACACACCGCCCGUCACACCAUGGGAGUGGGUUGCAAAAGAAGUAGGUAGCUUAACCUUCGGGAGGGCGCUUACCACUUUGUGAUUCAUGACUGGGGUGAAGUCGUAACAAGGUAACCGUAGGGGAACCUGCGGUUGGAUCACCUCCUUACCUUAAAGAA